GAUGUGACAGAUUUCCUAACCUGUCAAGUCGGCAAAUUUAAUCAUUGAUAACCUCAUUUGUGGAGCAGAGCGACAAUUUUUUCUGCCAAUUUUUUUCAUUUUAAGUAAAAACGCGUCGAAUAAGCAUAAUUACAGCAAUAUUGGAGAAGAAUAAAAUAAGUAAUGCUGCAUUUCAAACAUCCAGAUGUAUUGAAACAAUAUGUCGACCAGGUACCAUUACCAAACCCAAUACUCUAGCUUCAGUAUGUUCUGUGG